GGAAGCGUCUGGAAAGGCGCGCGAUACAGGGUGACAGCCCCGUACACAAAAAUGCACAUGCUGUGAGCUCGAUGAGUAGGGCGGGACACGUGGUAUCCUGUCUGAAUAUGGGGGGACCAUCCUCCAAGGCUAAAUACUCCUGACUGACCGAUAGUGAACCAGUACCGUGAGGGAAAGGCGAAAAGAACCCCGGCGAGGGGAGUGAAAAAGAACCUGAAACCGUGUACGUACAAGCAGUGGGAGCACGCUUAGGCGUGUGACUGCGUACCUUUUGUAUAAUGGGUCAGCGACUUAUAUUCUGUAGCAAGGUUAACCGAAUAGGGGAGCCGAAGGGAAACCGAGUCUUAACUGGGCGUUAAGUUGCAGGGUAUAGACCCGAAACCCGGUGAUCUAGCCAUGGGCAGGUUGAAGGUUGGGUAACACUAACUGGAGGACCGAACCGACUAAUGUUGAAAAAUUAGCGGAUGACUUGUGGCUGGGGGUGAAAGGCCAAUCAAACCGGGAGAUAGCUGGUUCUCCCCGAAAGCUAUUUAGGUAGCGCCUCGUGAAUUCAUCUCCGGGGGUAGAGCACUGUUUCGGCAAGGGGGUCAUCCCGACUUACCAACCCGAUGCAAACUGCGAAUACCGGAGAAUGUUAUCACGGGAGACACACGGCGGGUGCUAACGUCCGUCGUGAAGAGGGAAACAACCCAGACCGCCAGCUAAGGUCCCAAAGUCAUGGUUAAGUGGGAAACGAUGUGGGAAGGCCCAGACAGCCAGGAUGUUGGCUUAGAAGCAGCCAUCAUUUAAAGAAAGCGUAAUAGCUCACUGGUCGAGUCGGCCUGCGCGGAAGAUGUAACGGGGCUAAACCAUGCACCGAAGCUGCGGCAGCGACGCUUAUGCGUUGUUGGGUAGGGGAGCGUUCUGUAAGCCUGUGAAGGUGUACUGUGAGGUAUGCUGGAGGUAUCAGAAGUGCGAAUGCUGACAUAAGUAACGAUAAAGCGGGUGAAAAGCCCGCUCGCCGGAAGACCAAGGGUUCCUGUCCAACGUUAAUCGGGGCAGGGUGAGUCGACCCCUAAGGCGAGGCCGAAAGGCGUAGUCGAUGGGAAACAGGUUAAUAUUCCUGUACUUGGUGUUACUGCGAAGGGGGGACGGAGAAGGCUAUGUUGGCCGGGCGACGGUUGUCCCGGUUUAAGCGUGUAGGCUGGUUUUCCAGGCAAAUCCGGAAAAUCAAGGCUGAGGCGUGAUGACGAGGCACUACGGUGCUGAAGCAACAAAUGCCCUGCUUCCAGGAAAAGCCUCUAAGCAUCAGGUAACAUCAAAUCGUACCCCAAACCGACACAGGUGGUCAGGUAGAGAAUACCAAGGCGCUUGAGAGAACUCGGGUGAAGGAACUAGGCAAAAUGGUGCCGUAACUUCGGGAG
rnacentral:rRNA from 1 species